AUUGUCCUGCCACUUACCCUUUUCUGAGAUGGUGAAGAUAAUGAUCAAUAAAUACUGAGGGAACUCCGAGAUCAGUGCCAGCGUGGGUCCUCUGUAUGCUAAGCGCGGGUCCCCUAGGUCCACUUUUUCUUUCUCUAUACUUUGUCUCUGUGUCUCAUUUCUUUUCUCAGGUCUCUCGUUCCACCUAACGAGGAAUGCCCAUAGAUGUGGAGGGGCAGGCCACCCCUUCAUUUACUGUGUGUAAUGUGUAGGGUUUACAAGCAUAAUUGAUUCUACCUUUAUAAACCCCUGAAGUUUACAAUAAAUUAUGUAAACCUCAGAAGAAAUUAUACUGGCUAAAUACAUAACCAUUUGUGGGCUCUAAGUGGUGUUGAAUGUUCUGUAAGUUGUACUUUAUUACUGAAUAAGGCUCAUGAGAAAUGAUAAACUAUUUUAAACAAUUCAAUUGAUGAAGCAUGUUUUUAAUAUGUGAUUUUGUAGCUCCAAUAUAAAUGAGUAUUUCACAUGAGGUCAUUCAAUGAAUACUAUUUUCCUCCUUUUUUUAGUUUCUGCAUUUUUUCCACAAAGAGAUACAUGUGCUUGCUGGUGCAAUACAGUUUGUUACAAAGAAGGACGGAAAGAAUCAUCCUAUAAAACAAGAAAGCAGAGAGCAAUUAAAACGGCAAGAAGGUUUAAAAGUUACUCUUCAAACAAGAAAAUGAGUCAUAAGGAGAGAACAUCCUAA
rnacentral:lncRNA from 1 species